UGUCGGUCUGCUGAUCGAGUGUAAAUACAGUGGGGUUUUACGCCCAAACUGCAGGUUGUCGUGUUCUCCACAGGGACUAGGCAAAUCAUCGACUAUGAUCGGCUAAAUCUAGGUAACAAAAUAUUUGGAAUGAUUGCGGGGAAAUAAACCUAAAUUUAUCUAAGAUCGUUCUGGAAAAUUGUCGAUCAAGAAAAUGCAAAACAAGCAAAAGGGAGGUUCAGACUUUACUCACUUUCUUUUGGUAUUUUCAUUUUAAUAGAGAAAUAAAAUGCUAACACAAGCAAACAUCAAUGAAUUAAAAAGACAUGAACACAUAUAUAACUAUCUAGCAUUUAACAGAGGAAGGAGACUGAAUUAUGUGACAGGAAAUAGAUGAUUCACAGCACAAACACACACAUACUAUAUAUAUAUAUAUCACAUGAACUUGAUCUAACACUUGGAUUAUAAAAUGGAACAAGUUCACAAGAUUGAACACAAACACAAGCUUGCAGAUUACUAACUCACAAAGCAAAAUCACAUAGACCAAACAUUAUACAUAGCAACUAGGCCUAACAUUUCAGAGAACACAAGAUGUAACAUGAUAUUACAAGUAUGAAACUGAACCAAAUCUGAAUAUUACAUAAUUCUGAACAUCACACUUCUCAAGUUUACAGAAAUUUGGGAGAGAGGGAGAGAGAUAACAGCAGCAACUAGUUGAAGGAAAAGAAGAGCUUCAGGUUAGGAGCAGCAGCAACAACGGUUUGGAGAGGGAGCAUCAGCAGGUCAAGGAAGAAGGAGCAACAGCAGAUCGUGGGAAAAGGAGCAACAACAGAGACGAGUGGAGAGGGAGCAGUAGCAGAUACGAGGGGAGAGGGAGCAGAAACUGAUACGAGGGGAGAAGGAUCAGCAGCAGAUCCAACAGGGACGUGGGGAGAGGGAGCAACAAGGGGGCGCUGGAGAGAGGAGCAGCAGUAGGGGAUGGGGAUCAGAGGACGGCGCUGGUGUGGAUGGUGGUGCUGGAGUGGAUGGACGGUUGGGUGGCGCCGGUGGCACGAUGGACGGAUGCAUGGAGAUGGUGGUACAGGGUGGUGUUGUUGGCGCACCUACCACGCCGGCAUGGCCGUGGUGGCGACUGGAGGUGGAGAAGGAGGGGUCAGGGAAGAAGAAGAUGGAGGUACUAGGCCCGAAGGGGAUCGAAGGCUUCUCUAGGGAUUUUGACCCCUCACGACUGAUUUCCUCCUUUGCAAUUUGGUCCCUCUACUUUUCUUCUUUCUGCACAAGUUGAUCCUCCCCUUGUUUAGUUUGACCCCUCGGUCUCUUCUUUCCUUCACGCUUCCAAACCUUGAAGUUUAUAGUGCCUUAGCGCACUUUUCUGCAAAAUAAACAAGUGACGAGUAAAUGAUGUUUUAUAUGACUUUCAUUCAAAUAUGUGAUAUUUCAUAGCAAGAAUAGAGGAAUAUAUCACAACAGAUGUUAUAUUUGAGUGCCUACUUAUCAAGUUCCCCCACACUUAAAUCUUUACUUGUCCUCAAGUAAAGGCAUAUCAGAGAGAAAGAUAGUGAACAGUAAACUGACUAAAGAAUGUCCAAGUGAAGUAGAUCUCUAAACAAUGCAUGCUUUGAACUUUGCUAGUGAAAAAUAAUGGUUAGGGUUGCUACAAACAAUAUGGUACUAGUAGACUUGAUCAUUUUAAUCUUUUACAAUGAUAGACGAAGAUCAACAAGUUUAAAUGAUGAUUGUUCCAAAAGGUUCCUAAAGAGAGCAUGAUCCCGAGGACAAGAACUUAAACUUGUGAUCAGAUCACUUAUUUAUAGAAAUAAAGCAAUGUGGUUAAACCACUUAUUGAAUUUGAAGGAAUCAAUGACAAUAUGUUAUUGGUCUAACCAAAGGAACAUACCACCGAUCCCGAGAACAUGGUAUACACCUGGCUCGACCAAUUAUUAGUUUUUUUUGUUUGUCUCCCAAAAGUAACAUGCCGCCGAUCCAAAGAACAUGGUAUACACCUGGUUCAACAAUUACAUUUUUUAUACUUAACUCCUAUCUCACCCAACCAGAUUUCACAAGCCACCGAUCCAGGGAACAUGGCAUGCUACUAUUAGGUAGAUCAUAUAAUUAUACAUUACAAUUUUAUUUUAUUUUUCAAACGAACAAAAACAAGAAUCAUCACUCAUCCAUGUCUGGUUCACAUGCUACCGAUCCAGGGAACAUAGCAUGCUAAUCCAUAGUGGUCAAGUAAUUGCUCUGAAUGGGAACACACUUGGCACAAAUUCAGCAUCUAAACAUAGUGAUCUAGGUGUAUCAAGGUAAAAGCAGAAAAUGGUGGAGUUUACUAGUGCACUAGGGAUUUGAGCACUCGAAACAAAUGACUUUUACUAAUUUCAGCAAAGCAAGCAUUGUAUAGAUCGGUAGUUUACGAGGCAUUCGGAAAUCAGUUCACAAAUUCAUAUCAAGCAUAAUAUGACAUAAGCAAAUUUCAGGAUGACACAAUUAACAAAUGUCACAAGAAACCCAAAUAUCAAAUGAUUUCAUCAUGUAUCAAUAUAUGAUUAUUUUAGAAUGGAUCAUGAAACAGCUCACCGGGCUUGGAUGAUGUAGCACUCGCUCGAUCAUCUCACCAACUGCAGCUCUUCUCCUCUUGCUUAUCGCAUGCCCGCUCCAACUUCACUCUUCUUCGUGUGUGCCCCUUGCUUCUCCUCUUCACCAUGCUUUGAAUCCACCAGGGUCCCAAGGAAUGUCACCUCAAACCUGGUCACCAUGUAGUAGAUCGUGCACAAGCAAAAACCUGAAAGACCACUCAACAACACAGACAAUGCAAGUGGUUGGUACAAUGCCCUCUAAAUCAUCAAUAGAGUACCCAAUUACAUAUCCAUAGCAAUAAAGCACAUGCUUAGGAUAGUAGGAAUAAGCAAGCUCAAUACUAGCAUGGUGAUGAUAUUUAUCAUUAAGCAUAGGUCUAGCAUGAGGAGAAUAAGUAUCAUCAAUAGAAAUAUGAGCAAUGUCACUAACAGGCUAAGUAUCAUCAUCUCCAAGCCAAUAAUUUUUCAAGUCUACUUUCACUGAUGGUGUCAUGAAAUGCAAGGUAUAAGCAAAGAAAUCAUAAGGAUGCAUAUCAUCAAGAGGAUUAGAAAAACCUGUUACAUCACACUCUUGUAUGACGAUUGGCAAAUGAAUCUCUAGUUCUUCAUCUUCAAGUACAACAGCUUCUUUUACUUCUUCAGGAGUGAGAGAUGAUGGUUCUUCUACUUGAUGACUUGGGCAUUCGAGCUCUAGAUCAUCUUGUGCCUUGGCUUCGAAUACAUCUUAAAUCUGAGGUCUCUCUUUCUCUUUGCGUAUGCUAUCUUGCUCAACUGAAUGUGAAGGUAUUGGAACCUCACAUGUAUCCAGGGAAAUCCCAGCAACACUCAGCUCAAGAAGUGAUGAGAUAGUACCUCCAGCAUUGAUAUUCUUCUCAAUAUUCCUCACUUCUUCCACUAGCUCUUUCCCACUCUUGAUCUUCUUAAUUUCCUCUAGUAUAACCUUCCUAAUAGGAUCAUCCUGAGCGCUCCAAGUGAACUCGAGGCUAAGAAGUGUGAGCUUCUCUAUGUCGUCAAAAUCAUCUUUAGUAGGCACUUGCACUGGAUACUCAACAUGCGUUGGAGGUGUUAGCUCACCAAAUGGAGGACCAUUUAACUCCAUUGGACACAUCUCCUGAUGCUGAGGUAUAUGAGUAGGAGCUGAAUAGAGUUGUUGUGGUGCAUAGUUGUGGCUCUCGUGUUCAUACCUAAAUCCCUGCAUAUGAUUUCUUGAAGCAAAUGGUGAGAUCUCAGGGUUGUUGCUCCUAUAUUACAUAUUCUGGUUUUCAGGCCACCCAUGUGAGUAAUUGUUGUGGUAUGAGCUAUGCUAUGGGGCAAAGCUCAUGCCAAAACAAUCUGGAGGGUAAGAGUAACCACGCUGACAUUCAGCGGGUGAAUGGCCCUGAAAUCCACAAAUAUAGCAUGUAGGAGCAGCAUAAGGAUGGCCUACAUAAUAAGGAUCAUAACAACUAGGUGCGUUCUCAACAUCUAUACCUCGCUGCUGAGCUAAUUCAUCUAAUUGAUGGGAAAUCUUACUUAUCAGGUCUUGAACACUUUUCGUGUUAUUUGUGCUAUUGCUCACAUAAGCAUGAUGAUCGGAGUAGAAUGCCAUUUCCAAGAAGAUUGUUCUAACCUCCAGAAAGGAAAAAAGAAAUAAAGAGGAAAUAUACUAGAACAGGGGUUAGUUGUCAGAGAUAUAUCACAUAAAAACGUCACAAAAAGAAAACAAGAAAAACCUAGUCUAUAGGCUAACACAAUAGCUCGACGCUAGUCCUCGGCAACGGCGCCAAAAUGAUCGAGUGUAAGUACAAUGCGGCUUUACGCCCAAACUGCGGGUUGUCGUGUUCUCCACAGGGAAUAGGCAAAUCAGCGACUAUGCUCGGCUAAAUCUAGGUAACAAAAUAUUUGGAAUGAUUGCGGGGAAAUAAACCUAAAUUUAUCUAAGAUCGUUCCGGAAAAUCGUCGAUCAAGAAAAUGCAAAACAAGCAAAAGGGAGGUUCANGUUGAAGGAAAAGAAGAGCUUCAGGUUAGGAGCACCAGCAGCAUCAGUUUGGAGAAGGAGCAACAGCAGGUCAAGGAAGAAGGACCAGCAGCAGAUCGUGGGAAAAAGAGAAGCAUCAGAGACGAGUGGAGAGGGAGCAGGAGCAGAUACGAGGGGAGAGAGAGCAGCAGCUGAUACGAGGGGAGAGGGAGCAACAGCAGAUCCAACAGGGACGUGGGGAGAGGGAGCAGCAAGGGGGCGCUAGAGAGAGGAGCAGCAGCAGGGGAUGGGGAUCAGACGACGACGCUGGUGUGGAUGGUGGUGCUGGAGUGGAUGGACGGUUGGGUGGCACGCUUGCGGUGGCACAGUGGACGGAUGGAUGGAGAUGGUGGUACACGGUGGUUAUGUUGGCGCGCCUAUCACGCCGGCCUGGCCGUGGCGGCGGCCAGAGGUGUAGAAGGAGGGGUGAGGGAAGAAGAAGAUGGAGGUACNNNNNNNNNNNNNNNNNNNNNNNNNNNNNNNNNNNNNNNNNNNNNNNNNNNNNNNNNNNNNNNNNNNNNNNNNNNNNNNNNNNNNNNNNNNNNNNNNNNNNNNNNNNNNNNNNNNNNAGAAGAAGAUGGAGGUACCAGGCCCGAAGGGGAUCAAAGGCUUCUCUAGGCUUCG
rnacentral:lncRNA from 1 species